UCUGCCUCCCGAGUGCUGGGAUUAAAGGCGUGCACCAGCACGCCCAGCUCCAAUAAGCAUUUUUAUUAUUUUGUUGUAUGAAAUAGUCUUAUUGUAUAUUUCUGGCUUUGUUUGUUAGUAAAGACUGCCCAGAACUAGUUGUGUAGACCAGGCUGAACUCAGUAAGGUUCUCCUGCCAUUGUUUCUCCACUGCUGGGAUUUCAGGCAUGUCCACACACCCCGUUUUAUAUUUUGACCUUUUAUUUUAUUUAUUUAUUUUUUAAUAUAUUGCUUUUUUUUAUUAUUAUUAUUAUUUAUUUAUUACAUGUAAGUACACUGUAGCUGUCUUCAGACCCUCCAGAAGAGGGAGUCAGAUCUCAUUACGGAUGGUUGUGAGCCACCAUGUGGUUGCUGGGAUUUGAACUUCAGACCUUCGGAAGAGCAGUCGGGUGCUCUUACCCACUGAGCCAUCUCACCAGCCCUAUUUUGACCUUUUAUAUGUAACCUUUUCCACAGCGUCUGUCCCUGCACUCUGGGCCUUGCACAUGCCAGACAGGCCUGUACCACUCAGUUGUACUCUCAGCCAUUCUAGUUUUGAUUUGCCCAUAAAUAUCUUUGAUACAUGCAUUGCUUGACAGAGUUACUUGUAAAUCCCAAACAUGUACUUGACUUUUUAAAAAUAGCAAGGAAGAAAAAAAAAAGUACAAACUAUGUUUCUUACAAUUUGGGUUCUAUGUAAGGAGUGACCAGGGGUCUGGGGUUAAAGGGCACAGGACAGUUUAGCUGUGCUGCCUGCCCCACCGGUGCGCUCAUGGGUACAGAUGGACCCAGAGAAGGCAGAGGACCGUGUCUCUUAUCUUGUUCACUCUAGUUUGCAUUGCUUGACUCUCUCCAGGAUGCACAGGCCACCUUUGUGUCUCUUCUGAGCUAACAUAGCAACAGUUGUGCCCCAAAAAGUAGAGGUGUUUACUCCGUAUGUGCUACAAAAGCCACUGCAUUAUGUAGGGAAGAGCUGUGGUUCCUCUGCAGGGGCAGUGCAGUGCAGCCCUUUGGAAUUGUGUGCCUGUAAUCCUAGAUAGAUGUUCUAGCCACUACCUUUUAUCAUUUUCAGAUUUUUUUUUUUUGCUUAUAAAUCUGCAUUUAGACCAAGUUUAGAAUAAUCACUGUCUCUAGUUUAUUGGGCACUAAAAGGAGAUGCUUGAAAACUGGGUGGUAGUUCACACCUGUAAUCCUGCACUUGGGCGGCAGAGUAAAUCUCAAUUCUCUUAGUUGAAGCUCAGCCUGGUUUAUCUAUAUGGCAUUCCGGGUUAUCCAGGGCUACAUAGUGACACCCUGUCUCAGAAAAUAUAAAUGAAUGAAUGAAUGAAUGAAUGAAAAGAUUUAGGAGGAAAGCCAUUUCUUUCAUUGGGUGCUAUUAGCCAUUAAAGUCUGAUGCUCAGCUUUCAAGGACUAAGAGGAAACACAAAGCACACAAUUUAACACCAGUAGAGGAAGAGGAUAUGGGGUGAGAAGAGAGGAAAUGUCAAGUCCAGAAGCUUGUGGCUGUAAGUGACCCUUUGGUCCCAGGAAUCUGUCUUAGGAUCCACAGGUGUUUUGGAGAGAUCUGUACUCCUGUCAUUGACAGCAGACUUAAGUACUUGCUUGCAAGUACCUUCUAGAGAGGCCCUCACUUGGGCCUGUCCCUCAGAGAAGCCCACUGGGCUGCACGUUCCACACCACAGGGAGGAGACUGUGUGACAUCUUCUGGACUGUGAUGCAUGUGAAUGGCUGGGUGCUUUACAUAAUUCCUGGAAAAUCUGAGAUUAUUAGAUAUGGCUCGCUUAAUCUAUGUGAGAAAACUGGCUAGUCACUUAUUAAAUAUAAUUUUUUGUUUGUUUUUUAGCACAAAGAUUGUGUUGUUCCUUAUCUUCUUCGACUUCUCAGGGGUCUUCCAAAAGUGUAUUGGGUAGAAGAAAGCACAGCUCGGAAAGGCAGAGGUAAUUUUGUGUGAUAUUUAUCUUGAAUGAAGAAAAAAAAAGGAGAAGAAGCAGACUAACUUGGAAAUUAGACAGCUUUUAGCUGGUCUCAGAAAAUGUGGAACAACAAAUUGCCAACAGCAACAUGGCUGACCUUACUCACUGCUGUCUAGAACCCAUGGGCAAAGGGAGAAGGGAAAAUGGACAGCCUGCAGCUUUCCAUUGAGUCUCCUGGGAAUGAGCAAAUUCUGUUCAGACCUUCAGAAACUUUAAUUCUUCUAUGUCACUGGAUGCAUUGGACCAUCUGCAUCUGUCUAUCCCCAAACCAACCAUUUUGUCCCAGAGCUAAUAGAUUCACUUCUAGAGAAAGGUCAGUUCUCCAUGUUCCAAUCUUGCUGUUCCAAAGGGUGAGAUGGACUUGGGGACACAAUCAUAACUGUUCACUAGAAAUAGUUUUAUCAUUUUUGUUGCUGUUAACCUUCAGCUAAACUCCUACUUUAAAAGACUAUGCGCGGCCCGGCAUGGCUCACACCUUUAAUCCCAGCACUUGGGAGAGGCACAGACAGGUGGAGCUUUGUGAGGUUAGGUUAGCCUCAUCUAUAAAGCAAGUUCCAAGACAGCCAGGGCUACACAGAGAAACCAUCUUCAAAAGC
rnacentral:lncRNA from 1 species